GUUUGAUCAUGGCUCAGAGCGAACGCUGGCGGCAGGCUUAACACAUGCAAGUCGAACGGGCACUUCGGUGUCAGUGGCAGACGGGUGAGUAACGCGUGGGAACGUACCUUUUGGUUCGGAACAACUGAGGGAAACUUCAGCUAAUACCGGAUAAGCCCUAACGGGGAAAGAUUUAUCGCCGAAAGAUCGGCCCGCGUCUGAUUAGCUAGUUGGUAGGGUAAUGGCCUACCAAGGCGACGAUCAGUAGCUGGUCUGAGAGGAUGAUCAGCCACAUUGGGACUGAGACACGGCCCAAACUCCUACGGGAGGCAGCAGUGGGGAAUAUUGGACAAUGGGCGCAAGCCUGAUCCAGCCAUGCCGCGUGAGUGAUGAAGGCCCUAGGGUUGUAAAGCUCUUUUGUACGGGAAGAUAAUGACGGUACCGUAAGAAUAAGCCCCGGCUAACUCCGUGCCAGCAGCCGCGGUAAUACGAAGGGGGCUAGCGUUGCUCGGAAUCACUGGGCGUAAAGGGUGCGUAGGCGGGUUUUUAAGUCAGAGGUGAAAUCCUGGAGCUCAACUCCAGAACUGCCUUUGAUACUGAAAGUCUUGAGUAUGGGAGAGGUGAGUGGAACUGCGAGUGUAGAGGUGAAAUUCGUAGAUAUUCGCAAGAACACCAGUGGCGAAGGCGGCUCACUGGCCCAUAACUGACGCUGAGGCACGAAAGCGUGGGGAGCAAACAGGAUUAGAUACCCUGGUAGUCCACGCCGUANACGAUGAAUGCCAGCCGUUAGUGGGUUUACUCACUAGUGGCGCAGCUAACGCUUUAAGCAUUCCGCCUGGGGAGUACGGUCGNNAGANUNAAACUCAAAGGAAUUGACGGGGGCCCGCACAAGCGGUGGAGCAUGUGGUUUAACUCGACGCAACGCGCAGAACCUUACCAGCCCUUGACAUGUCUAUGACCGGUACCAGAGAUGGAACCUUCCCUUCGGGGCAUAGAGCACAGGUGCUGCAUGGCUGUCGUCAGCUCGUGUCGUGAGAUGUUGGGUUAAGUCCCGCAACGAGCGCAACCCCCGUCCUUAGUUGCUACCAUUUAGUUGAGCACUCUAAGGAGACUGCCGGUGAUAAGCCGCGAGGAAGGUGGGGAUGACGUCAAGUCCUCAUGGCCCUUACGGGCUGGGCUACACACGUGCUACAAUGGCGGUGACAAUGGGAUGCAAAGGGGCGACCCCUCGCAAAUCUCAAAAAGCCGUCUCAGUUCGGAUUGGGCCCUGCAACUCGAGCCCAUGAAGUUGGAAUCGCUAGUAAUCGUGGAUCAGCAUGCCACGGUGAAUACGUUCCCGGGCCUUGUACACACCGCCCGUCACACCAUGGGAGUUGGUUCUACCUGAAGGCAGUGCGCUAACCCGCAAGGGGGGCAGCUGACCACGGUAGGGUCAGCGACUGGGGUGAAGUCGUAACAAGGUAGCC
rnacentral:rRNA from 1 species